GAGAGGAGCUUGCUCUUCUUGGAUGAGUUGCGAACGGGUGAGUAACGCGUAGGUAACCUGCCUUGUAGCGGGGGAUAACUAUUGGAAACGAUAGCUAAUACCGCAUAACAAUGGAUGACACAUGUCAUUUAUUUGAAAGGGGCAAUUGCUCCACUACAAGAUGGACCUGCGUUGUAUUAGCUAGUAGGUGAGGUAAUGGCUCACCUAGGCGACGAUACAUAGCCGACCUGAGAGGGUGAUCGGCCACACUGGGACUGAGACACGGCCCAGACUCCUACGGGAGGCAGCAGUAGGGAAUCUUCGGCAAUGGGGGCAACCCUGACCGAGCAACGCCGCGUGAGUGAAGAAGGUUUUCGGAUCGUAAAGCUCUGUUGUAAGUCAAGAACGGGUGUGAGAGUGGAAAGUUCACACUAUGACGGUAGCUUACCAGAAAGGGACGGCUAACUACGUGCCAGCAGCCGCGGUAAUACGUAGGUCCCGAGCGUUGUCCGGAUUUAUUGGGCGUAAAGCGAGCGCAGGCGGUUUGAUAAGUCUGAAGUUAAAGGCUGUGGCUCAACCAUAGUUCGCUUUGGAAACUGUCAAACUUGAGUGCAGAAGGGGAGAGUGGAAUUCCAUGUGUAGCGGUGAAAUGCGUAGAUAUAUGGAGGAACACCGGUGGCGAAAGCGGCUCUCUGGUCUGUAACUGACGCUGAGGCUCGAAAGCGUGGGGAGCGAACAGGAUUAGAUACCCUGGUAGUCCACGCCGUAAACGAUGAGUGCUAGGUGUUGGAUCCUUUCCGGGAUUCAGUGCCGCAGCUAACGCAUUAAGCACUCCGCCUGGGGAGUACGACCGCAAGGUUGAAACUCAAAGGAAUUGACGGGGGCCCGCACAAGCGGUGGAGCAUGUGGUUUAAUUCGAAGCAACGCGAAGAACCUUACCAGGUCUUGACAUCCCGAUGCUAUUUCUAGAGAUAGAAAGUUACUUCGGUACAUCGGUGACAGGUGGUGCAUGGUUGUCGUCAGCUCGUGUCGUGAGAUGUUGGGUUAAGUCCCGCAACGAGCGCAACCCCUAUUGUUAGUUGCCAUCAUUCAGUUGGGCACUCUAGCGAGACUGCCGGUAAUAAACCGGAGGAAGGUGGGGAUGACGUCAAAUCAUCAUGCCCCUUAUGACCUGGGCUACACACGUGCUACAAUGGUUGGUACAACGAGUUGCGAGUCGGUGACGGCGAGCUAAUCUCUUAAAGCCAAUCUCAGUUCGGAUUGUAGGCUGCAACUCGCCUACAUGAAGUCGGAAUCGCUAGUAAUCGCGGAUCAGCACGCCGCGGUGAAUACGUUCCCGGGCCUUGUACACACCGCCCGUCACACCACGAGAGUUUGUAACACCCGAAGUCGGUGAGG
rnacentral:rRNA from 1 species